rnacentral:tRNA from 1 species
GGGUAUAGCUCAGUUGGGAGAGCACCUGCCUUGCACGCAGGGGGUCAAGAGUUCGAAUCUCUUUAUAUCCACCA